GACGAACGCUGGCGGCGUGCUUAACACAUGCCAGUCGAACGCUGAAGCUCAGCUUGCUGGGUGGAUGAGUGGCGAACGGGUGAGUAACACGUGAGUAACCUGCCCUCUUCUUUGGGAUAACGCCCGGAAACGGGUGCUAAUACUGGAUAUUCACUGUUUCUCGCAUGGGGGUUGGUGGAAAGGUUUUUUCUGGUGGGGGAUGGGCUCGCGGCCUAUCAGCUUGUUGGUGGGGUGAUGGCUUACCAAGGCUUUGACGGGUAGCCGGCCUGAGAGGGUGACCGGUCACAUUGGGACUGAGAUACGGCCCAGACUCCUACGGGAGGCAGCAGUGGGGAAUAUUGCACAAUGGGCGAAAGCCUGAUGCAGCGACGCCGCGUGAGGGAUGGAGGCCUUCGGGUUGUAAACCUCUUUCGCUCAUGGUCAAGCCGCAGCUUUGGGUUGUGGUGAGGGUAGUGGGUAAAGAAGCGCCGGCUAACUACGUG
rnacentral:rRNA from 1 species